GAUGAACGCUGGCGGCGUGCCUAAUACAUGCAAGUCGAGCGAACAGACGAGGAGCUUGCUCCUCUGACGUUAGCGGCGGACGGGUGAGUAACACGUGGAUAACCUACCUAUAAGACUGGGAUAACUUCGGGAAACCGGAGCUAAUACCGGAUAAUAUAUUGAACCGCAUGGUUCAAUAGUGAAAGACGGUUUUGCUGUCACUUAUAGAUGGAUCCGCGCCGCAUUAGCUAGUUGGUAAGGUAACGGCUUACCAAGGCAACGAUGCGUAGCCGACCUGAGAGGGUGAUCGGCCACACUGGAACUGAGACACGGUCCAGACUCCUACGGGAGGCAGCAGUAGGGAAUCUUCCGCAAUGGGCGAAAGCCUGACGGAGCAACGCCGCGUGAGUGAUGAAGGUCUUCGGAUCGUAAAACUCUGUUAUUAGGGAAGAACAAAUGUGUAAGUAACUAUGCACGUCUUGACUGUACCUAAUCAGAAAGCCACGGCUAACUACGUGCCAGCAGCCGCGGUAAUACGUAGGUGGCAAGCGUUAUCCGGAAUUAUUGGGCGUAAAGCGCGCGUAGGCGGUUUUUUAAGUCUGAUGUGAAAGCCCACGGCUCAACCGUGGAGGGUCAUUGGAAACUGGAAAACUUGAGUGCAGAAGAGGAAAGUGGAAUUCCAUGUGUAGCGGUGAAAUGCGCAGAGAUAUGGAGGAACACCAGUGGCGAAGGCGACUUUCUGGUCUGUAACUGACGCUGAUGUGCGAAAGCGUGGGGAUCAAACAGG
rnacentral:rRNA from 1 species